rnacentral:rRNA from 1 species
AAGCACACUUCGGUCAUGGAUUAAGCCAUGCAAGUGUUAGUUCAGGAACUCCUAAACUGCGAAUGGCUCAUUAACACGCUUAGAAUCUACUUGAUGUCUACCCACAGGUUCCUACGGAUAGCCGGGGUAAUUCCCGGGCUAAUACGUUUUACUGCCUCGUCAUAAGUGAAUCACGACGACGACGAAGACCUCCUGGCGCAUCAAUCGAUUAAGCGACCUAUCAGCUUCUAGAUAGGGUCUUUCCCUACAUAGGCUAUCACGGGUAACGGGCGGUCACCGUCGUACUGCCGGAGAAGGCGCCUGAGAGAUAGCGACUAUAUCUACGGAUAGCAGCAGGCGCGAAACUUACCCACUCGAAACUCUCGGAGGUGGUAAUGACCAGUUUCCUCCUCGGUUCAUCCGACAGGAAUAGGACCGCAUUUUAAGGUUGCGGUGAAAUCUAGCAGAGGGCCAGUCUGGUGCCAGCAGCUGCGGUAAUUCCAGCUCUGCGAGUUUGCUCCCAUAUUGUUGCAGUUAAAACGCCCGUAGUCUGUUCUGCGAAAGCACAUGUUUCUACGUUCACUGCGAACAAAUCAGGACGCUUAGAGUAUGGUCACACGAAUAACUCAGCGCAGUAUGAACCCAUCCACGCCCUCGGGCGUCAGGUCAAUGAGAUCCAUCGGGGGUACAUCUAUUUCAUGGCGAGCGGUGGAAUGCAUAGACCCAUGAGAGAGAGCCAGAAGCGAAGGCUUUUACCUAGGGGGAUUCUGUCGAUCAAGGGCGAGAGAAGGAGUAUCCAACCGGAUUAGAGACCCGGGUAGUUCCUUCUGUAAACUAUGCCGACGGUGGCUUGUUGGUUUUUACCAGCAGGACAUUAGGAGAAAUCUAGUUCAUGGGCUCUGGGGGAACUACGACCGCAAGGCUGAAACUUGAAGGAAUUGACGGAAGGGCACACCAGGGGUGGAGCCUGUGGCUUAAUUUGAAUCAACACGGGGAAACUUACCAGGUCCAGAUGACAUAUAUGACUGACAGGCUCAAGGUCUUUCAGGAUUUUUCUUUUGGUGGUGCAUGGCCGUUGGUGGUGCGUGGGUUGACCUGUCUAGCGUUGAUUCAGCUAACGAGCGAGAUUAUUGCCGAUUACUACCUGUCGCACGAUGUGCGUUCAGGUUCUUAUCGGGACUCCCUGCGAUUAAGCAGGCGGAAGAGGGUAGCAAUAACAGGUCCGUGAUGUCCUUUAGAUGUUCUGGGCUGCACGCGUGCUACAAUGUAAGCAUCAAAGGGUUGCUCUCCCGAGAGGGAUGGCUGCUCCCAUAAUCGCUUACGUAGUUGGGCUCGAUCUUUGUAAUCAGGAUCGUGAACCAGGAAUCCCUUGUAAUUGCGUGUCAACAUCGCGCGUUGAAUACGUCCCUGCCCUUUGUACACACCGCCCGUCGCUCCUACCGAUUGGAUGACGAGGUGAAACUGCCGGACGAAAGGAAGGUAUUUAAAUCACGUUAUCUAGA